rnacentral:rRNA from 1 species
GGAGGGUGCGAGCGUUGUUCGGAUUUACUGGGCGUACAGGGAGCGUAGGCGGUUGGAUAAGCCCUCCGUGAAAUCUCCAGGCUUAACCUGGAAAGUGCAGAGGGGACUGUUCAGCUAGAGGAUGGGAGAGGAGCGCGGAAUUCCCGGUGUAGCGGUGAAAUGCGUAGAGAUCGGGAGGAAGGCCGGUGGCGAAGGCGGCGCUCUGGAACAUUUCUGACGCUGAGGCUCGAAAGCGUGGGGAGCAAACAGGAUUAGAUACCCUGGUAGUCCACGCCUUAAACGAUGGAUACUAAGUGUCGGCGGGUUACCGCCGGUGCCGCAGCUAACGCAGUAAGUAUCCCGCCUGGGAAGUACGGCCGCAAGGUUG